GGGCAGGUGGCGAAAUUGGUAGACGCGCAUGGCUUAGGACCAUGUCCGCAAGGAUUGGGAGUUCGAGUCUCCCCCUGCCCA
rnacentral:tRNA from 1 species